GAUGAACGCUGGCGGCGUGCCUAAUACAUGCAAGUCGAGCGAACGGACGAGAAGCUUGCUUCUCUGAUGUUAGCGGCGGACGGGUGAGUAACACGUGGAUAACCUACCUAUAAGACUGGGAUAACUUCGGGAAACCGUAGCCAAUACCGGAUAAUAUUUUGAACCGCAUGGUUCAAAAGUGAAAGACGGUCUUGCUGUCACUUAUAGAUGGAUCCGCGCUGCAUUAGCUAGUUGGUAAGGUAACGGCUUACCAAGGCAACGAUGCAUAGCCGACCUGAGAGGGUGAUCGGCCACACUGGAACUGAGACACGGUCCAGACUCCUACGGGAGGCAGCAGUAGGGAAUCUUCCGCAAAGGGCGAAAGCCUGACGGAGCAACGCCGCGUGAGUGAUGAAGGUCUUCGGAUCGUAAAACUCUGUUAUUAGGGAAGAACAUAUGUGUAAGUAACUGUGCACAUCUUGACGGUACCUAAUCAGAAAGCCACGGCUAACUACGUG
rnacentral:rRNA from 1 species